UCUCCAUCCGCAGCCCCCUCCCUCAUCUCCCACCGCACGCCGCCACCCUCCACCUCUUCGCGUCCUUCCUCCCACAGCUCGCCGCCGGCCCUCCCCUCCCUUCCCCUCACCUCGCAGCUCCGACAACUACCAGAUCCGCCGCAUACCCCACCCAUCCAUCCCUCUCGCAAUGCAUCUAUUCCUCCCCGGCACUCGCUUGUGACCCCUAGCAAUGGCUAGGGUUUCGGCUGCGGCAUCGUGUCCAACACUGCACAUCUCCGGCGGCUCCCCUCCAUCCGCACAUCGCGUCUUCGGUAGCUCCUCUCCGUCCACACCGCUCUUCCUUGAGCCCACCUUGCCGGCUGUGCGGUGAUGCCGCUGUGCAACGUCCAGUGGCGAGCGACCAACUCCUGGGCCGCCGUCGGCGACACCUCUUCUCCACCAAGGAAUUGUUUGAGAGUCCUGCAAUUCGUGAACAGUUUCUGUGUACUUAGCAUUCAAGGAGCAGCUUGUUGAUGACCAGUCUGUCUCAGGAUUAAAUUUUAGAAGUUGGUACCAAGUAGAGACAAACAGCAGGGUACAGAGCAGAGACAAACCACCGCACUGCAACACCGAGCUAGCACUUGCCAUCACAGUGACACAACGCGUUGCUUCUUCAACUCCGUUGCUCCAUCACUAGGUCUAGGUAGCUCUGUAACAGUGGUGCCACUGCAUGGCGCACAAUAGAGCUUGAGAGGGCAACCAUGAUGGCCGUUGGGAGCUGCACCACGAUCAACCAAGGGUAUGAUUGGGUCGCGAGCUACUUGGUGUUGUCCAUCAGAAUCUGCCAUGACAUGUAGUUGCCACCAGGAGGAUCGACGACAAGCACAUGAGUGGCACCCUUAGUAGUUUAUAUGUCUUGUUAACAUAAAUUGGAUUGUACUGGUUCCUAUCAUUGCCGUGUGAUAUAUUUUGACAAUAUAUGUUGUAUAUUAUCAUUUCCUGGAGGAUAUUAUAAACUGCUAGGUUGUAUAGAUACCUAUGGAUGGCUACAUAUUGAGUGAUUUAUGUAACGUAUGGCACUUUGGAAA